CCUACGGGGUGCAGCAGUGGGGAAUAUUGGACAAUGGGCGAAAGCCUGAUCCAGCCAUGCCGCGUGUGUGAAGAAGGCCUUCGGGUUGUAAAGCACUUUCAGUGGGGAAGAAAGCCUUGGGGCUAAUACCCUCGAGGAAGGACAUCACCCACAGAAGAAGCACCGGCUAACUCCGUGCCAGCAGCCGCGGUAAUACGGAGGGUGCGAGCGUUAAUCGGAAUUACUGGGCGUAAAGCGCGCGUAGGCGGUCUGAUAAGCCGGUUGUGAAAGCCCCGGGCUCAAACUGGGAACGGCAUCCGGAACUGUGAGGCUAGAGUGCAGGAGAGGAAGGUAGAAUUCCCGGUGUAGCGGUGAAAUGCGUAGAGAUCGGGAGGAAUACCAGUGGCGAAGGCGGCCUUCUGGACUGACACUGACGCUGAGGUGCGAAAGCGUGGGUAGCAAACAGGAUUAGAUACCCCAGUAGUC
rnacentral:rRNA from 1 species